rnacentral:rRNA from 1 species
AUUGAACGCUGGCGGCAGGCCUAACACAUGCAAGUCGAACGAGUGGCGGACGGGUGAGUAAUGUCUGGGGAACUGCCCGAUGGAGGGGGGUAACUACUGUAAACGGUAGCUAAUACCGCCUACCAUCGGAUGUGCCCAGAUGUGAUUAGCUUGUAGGUGAGGUAACGGCUCACCUAGGCGACGAUCCCUAGCUGGUCUGAGAGGAUGACCAGCAACACUGGAACUGAGACACGGUCCAGACUCCUACGGGAGGCAGCAGUGGGGAAUAUUGGACAAUGGGCGAAAGCCUGAUCCAGCCAUGCCGCGUGUGUGAAGAAGGUCUUCGGAUUGUAAAGCACUUUAAGUGGGGAGGCGUUACCAACAGAAUAAGCACCGGCUAACUUCGUGCCAGCAGCCGCGGUAAUAC